rnacentral:sRNA from 1 species
AAUGCUCCGCAUUUGAAGUGGCAUCCUUUUUACCAUUGCAAAUAGGCAUCAUUACGAGUUAAGAGAUUGCCACAGAAAAUUAGAAAUUUUCUUCGCAAUGACGUAAAAAGAUAUAGCGAAAAGCCCGACCCUUG